rnacentral:rRNA from 1 species
AGGAUAAACGCUGGCGGCGUGCCUAACACAUGCAAGUCGAACGCGCUUUCGGGCUUCGGUGCGAGAGCGAGUGGCGGACGGGUGAGUAACACAUGGGUACCUACCUUGGAGUGAGGGAUACCGGCGAGAAAUCGCCGACAAUACCGCAUAGGCUUCUUCACAAGGGAAGCAAAGUGACGCGAGUCACGCUGUGAGAUGGGCCCGUGGCCGAUUAGCUAGUUGGGGGGGUAACGGCUUCCCAAGGCGACGAUCGGUAGCUGGUCUGAGAGGACGAUCAGCCACACUGGGAUUGAGAACGGCCCAGACUCCUACGGGGGGCAGCAGUGAGGAAUUUUCCGCAAUGGAGGCAACUCUGACGGAGCAACGCCGCGUGCAGGAGGAAGGUUUUCGGAUCGUAAACUGCUUUUCUCGGGGACGAGCAAGGACGGUACCCGAGGAAGAAGCCCCGGCUAACUACGUGCCAGCAGCCGC